CUCUCUCUCUCUCCCUCUUUUUUCUUCUUCUUUUCUCUCCCCUCCCUCUCUCUCUCUUCUCUCUCUCCUCUCUCUCCCUCCUCUCUCUUUCUCACUCUCCCCUCUCUCUCUCUCCUCCCUCUCUCUCCUUCUCUCCAGUGCCGACACGCCCCUUGUUCCUGCAGAAGCAGGCUGGUGGAGGUGGAGGAAAUGGGAAGUUGGCGGUGAGGCCGGGGUACGGUGGCUGGAGACGCUGUCCUCUGGGACGCCUGGUGCGAUUGUCGCGAUCUCCUGAUGACCAGGGGCUUGUGACGGUUCUCCCGGGGUCAUGCCGUCCCCUCACAGUGGCGUCCUCUCCGCCGGCAUCGUCCUCAUUGCGGUCGGGGUGGUGCUCUUCAUGUUCCUGUGGGAGGGGUACAAGUUAUUCGGGAUCGCCAUGGCCAUCCUGGGCCUCACCCUGACCAUCUACGCCUUCUACCUGGCCAUGAAGUCCCACCACGUGGCGGUGCAAGGCCACUUCCUGCUGCACCCUCGCACGGGGACCCGCUACAGCCCGCACCACGCCCUUACCAUUCAGAGGAGGCUGGACAGGAUCCGGCGGGCGGCGGAGGAAGAGAGUCGUCCUGUUGGGCCGUCCCUCCCGCAGGACGGCAGUCUGCACAGCCUCCCCCAGACCCCGCCGCCGUGGGACAUGGAGCCACCGCCCCCCUACGAGACGGUCGUGAAAAGCCCCUCGCCGGCGACCUGAACUCAGAGACGCCCUGCAACCCGUAUAAACAUUUCCCGGCGGAGCCCCGCCGCCGGUUCCACGUCUGGACAGAGGAGCGGAGAACGUGCGCUUCUAUAAACUGAGGAGAUCCUGGCCAGGAUCAUCUCGUGUAAACACCCAGAGCUCCCAGUCCCAGCUCGAAAAAAAACGUCCACAGACAUCAGCAUCACGCAGGACGUCGAAUCCCAACUCAGAGACGAGUUCGUUUUGGUACGUUGCCGUCCAAUUUGUCCUUAUCUCGGUGAAGAUUCCCAGUCAUCCAGGUGAACUUGUCUGAAGGUUGAGUCGUGGCAAAAUGGACUUCAUUCUGCAUCCACGGAACUUUGUCAAAGUUUGUCCAGACUGACAAGGUUCUGUGGAUGCAGAAUGAAACGUAGUUCAGUUCAGACAUCAGUCAUCAUCUUUUGUAAAUGAGACUACGCUGUAAAAAAAAAAAAACUGGGACGUUCCCCCUCCGCUCCCGGCUCAGGACCAUGAAGAGGUUCUGCGUGGUCGACCACGAGGCUGUCAAGAUCACGACAUGUCACGCUGCACAAAAACACGGAGCCAGUGGCAGCUACCGUUUGAAAUUAUUUUCCCCCGGUGUGAAAAUGGGGAACUUUGCGAUGGACCCCCAACACGAGACUUGAUGUGAAGCCCGGAAGUGCCUUCCCCGCUGUAAGAAUCGGCGUUUGCUGUGAAGAUCGUGGACUCGGACUCGGACCCGAGGCUUUUACUCUAAUCAGGUGGAGCAGGAAGGGGGCGCAGCACAAGCGCUGCUGACAAGUGCUCUUAACGGUGAACUUUUUCCAUCUUCUUCUUCAUCUAAUGAAGACCUUCUGUCCAGGAAGAAGCUGGUAAACUGACAUGCUGCGUUUUUUUCGGUGAG
rnacentral:lncRNA from 1 species